rnacentral:rRNA from 1 species
GACGUAGGGCGCGAGCGUUGUCCGGAUUUAUUGGGCGUAAAGGGCUCGUAGGCGGCGUGUCGCGUCGGGAGUGAAAGCCCGUUGCUUAACGGCGGGUUGGCUUUCGGUACGGGCAUGCUGGAGUGCGGCAGGGGAGACUGGAAUUCCGUGGUGUAGCGGUGGAAUGCGCAGAUAUCAGGAGGAACGCCGGUGGCGAAAGCGGCGCGCUGGACCUCUUCUGACGCUGGAGGCGCGAAAGCUAGGGGGAGCAAACGGGG